rnacentral:sRNA from 1 species
AUGCAACACUGGUUAGUCUAACGCUAUAGAUAUGGAUGAUAUUUUAGAUAUCUAUAUAUACAUUUUUGCAGCCAUUUUGUAAAAUAAAUCCUAGAGUUAGAAUUUAUUUACAGUGGCUGCCACUGACAUUUAAUAAUUGUUUUUGAUAAUUAAAAAGAAAAUCUUUGAAUUAAAUAUUUGACAAUCUUCCCAAAAUCUCUCCACAUUAAUUACACGAUUAGUUACUAAAAUAAAACUUCCCAAAA